AUUUCUUAGUUCUGCACGUGUGGCUUGCAUGUGUGAUUGUCUCAUCUUUUAAAAAGUAUUUAUUUAUUUGGCUGUGCCGGGUCUUAGCUGUGGGCUCUUGGAUCUUCAUUGCACCAUGCAGGAUAUUUAGUUGCAGCAUGUGAACUCUUAGUUGUGGCAUGUGGGAUCUAGUUCCCUGACUAGGGAUCAAACCAGGGCCCCCUCUACCAGGAGUGUGGAGUCUUAGCCACUGGACCAUCAGGGAAGUCCCCAAUUCUCCCAUCUUAAUCUCCAACUACAUUCAUCCCAAGAGAUUGGCCCUUUGGGUCCCUGAAUAAUUUUUCAGCCUCUUCCAUUAUUUUAUUUUAUGAAUUCCACCAUUUGAUGCUUUUGAAAUGCUUCUUAAGUGCUGUGUGCUAUAAUAGACAUAAGGGAGUCAAAAUUGACUACAAGAGCAUCCUUGCCCUGAAGGAGCCCAGAGACAGGCAGGGGAGAGAGGUGUACCUGUCAUCCACUGCAACAAGGCCUUAAAAAGGGGCCCUUAUCCCAAAUGUGGGGGCAAGAGGGAUCAGAGAAGGCUUUGGAGUCGGGGGAAGGGACACCUGAGCCAAGCUCUGAAGGAAGAGUAGGAUUUAGUCGAGAAGGGAGGAGAAAGGAAAGCAUUCCGGGCAGAGGUGGAGCCAUGUGUACAACCUGCUGGUGAGCAAAAACAGACCUUUCGGGGCACCAUGAACACUUUCAAGGCAGCCUCAGCACAGGCUUGUGGAGAGAGAAAGAGUCACAUAAAGCAUUUGGACAACGUCCUAAGGAAAAGAGCUAUGGAAGAUUGAUCAGCGGUAUUGGAGAUCAGCCCUGAAAUGUCUGGGAGAUGAUCAUGGCUGCAGCAUGAAAAAUGGCUUGGAGAGAGACAGAACUGCAUGCAGAGGGCCCAGGGCCCGAGUUACUUGGAGGAGAGGCAGAUGGCUGUGGGCUCAUUCCUGAAGUGCGCUUCUGGGGACCAUCAGCCCCGGCUCCCUGGCUGACAGCCCACACAGGGUUUUACAGCCUCCCUGGUUCAGUCUGUACCCUCACUCAACUGCUCCUUGGGCCCACUGAGAUGACUCCAGCCCAUGCCGGUGGACUAUUCGAAGAGUCAGUUACUGCAAUGACCCGCAGUUGUCACAUACUCACUUCGUCCUGCU